AUGUGGUUUAAUUCGAUGAUACGCGAGGAACCUUACCUGGGCUCGAACGUAAGAUGACUGUAGGUGAAAGCUUACAUCUCUUCGGAGCAUUUUACGAGGUGCUGCAUGGUUGUCGUCAGCUCGUGCCGUGAGGUGUCGGGUUAAGUCCCAUAACGAGCGCAACCCCUACCUUUAGUUGCCAUCAGGUAAUGCUGGGGACUCUAAAGGAACUGCCUACGCAAGUAGUGAGGAAGCGGGGAUGACGUCAAAUCAGCACGGCCCUUACGUCCAGGGCUACACACGUGCUACAAUGGCCGAUACAGAGGGCAGCUACCUGGUGACAGGAUGCAAAUCUCCAAAGUCGGUCUCAGUUCGGAUCGGAGUCUGCAACCCGACUCCGUGAAGUUGGAUUCGCUAGUAAUCGCGCAUCAGCCAUGGCGCGGUGAAUACGUUCCCGGGCCUU
rnacentral:rRNA from 1 species